UACGUAGGGCGCAAGCGUUAUCCGGAAUUAUUGGGCGUAAAGAGCUCGUAGGCGGCUUGUUAAGUCAGGGGUGAAAUCCUGGAGCUCAACUCCAGAACUGCCUUUGAUACUGGCGAUCUCGAGUCCGGGAGAGGUGAGUGGAACUGCGAGUGUAGAGGUGAAAUUCGUAGAUAUUCGCAAGAACACCAGUGGCGAAGGCGGCUCACUGGCCCGGUACUGACGCUGAGGUGCGAAAGCGUGGGGAGCAAACAGG
rnacentral:rRNA from 1 species